GGGCCCGUAGCUCAGUUGGUAGAGAAGUUGCCUUUUAAGCAAUUGGUCGUGCGUUCGAGUCGCACCGGGCUCACCA
rnacentral:tRNA from 1 species